AGCGGCUAAGUACAAGUGAUGUGAACCAUUCAUCAAGGCUGUUGCUGCCCAAAGAGGAAAUCACAAAAUACGUCUUACCUCUCAUGGAUAUGGAGAGCUGUAGAGCUUCUCAAAACAGGGAUGCAACUAAUGAAAGGAUGUCCAAGAGGAAGACUAAAACUACGUGACUACAUCUGCAUUUCAAGAUCCUAAUAUUUAGGACAUAUAUGCAAUUUACUCAUUUUCUCGAUUUUAAUUACAGUCUCUGUUGUUAGAGUAGUUAGAGCCAAAUAAAUAGUAAAUUUAUUAGGGAGUGAUUAAAAUGUAAUAAGCUAUAAAUUCCUUUGUUAAUACAAGAGAGGGCAUUAUCUUGAAUUCCAAUACUUUAUCUGUCUGAACUCAAGUCCAUGUCCCCUUCUUUUUCUAUUUUGGAGGUUGUCCAUCCUCUAAAGUGCACAACAAAAUACUUUGAAGAAAACUCAUCACAACAAUUUGGUGUUUUCAUUGACAGAAUGGAUGGCCACUGAAGAGAUACAAACUAGGCAACGGGCUCUCGAAGAGCAACUCCAUCAAAUGCGUGUUGCUUCUCAUGGAUAUGGAGAGCUGUAGAGCUUGUCAAAACAAGGAUGGGUUGAGAGUCAAAAUAUGGGAUUUGGAUACUGAAUCAGAGCAUGAACUGAUUAUUAAUGAGGCUUUAUGUGUGGGAGUAAAUGAGUCUUUUCAUUAUAUGACCUUGUUCUUCCUCCGUUUUGGUGUAUCACAACCAUAAAUCAGGACGAAGCUGUAUCUAUAUCUUUUGAUCUGCCAGCUGUACUUGAUAAUGUCUUAUCACUUUCAUCUGGAAGAUCUCAUGAAAAAGGGAUUGAGUUGGCUAUUUAUAUCUCUGAUCAGGCCCCACAAAUGGUUGUUGGAGAUCCCGAAAUUAAAGCUUCAGGCAAAUAAUCUUGAAUCUUGUUGGAAACUCAAUCAAGUUCUCAAAAAACAAUGAGGGGCAUGUGUUUGUCACGGAUCAUUUAGCAGAUGAAGUGAGGUGCCCGCUUGAUGUGAAGGAUGAAGUCUUCAGACAGAGCUUAUCCCUCGUUGUUCAAAACUAGACAAACAGAUCUUUCAACACAUUGAGCGGGUUUCCGGUAGUUGACAGAUGGAGAAGUUUUGCAAAAUUAUAAGAAGCUUAGCGAGGAAGAAAGUGGCAAGAUCAAAUUAUAAUGAAUUGGUGCCUAGGCGCCGGUGUAUAUCUGAAUAUUUCAGUGAAGAGCAUCGGAAUUGAAGAGCUGCCAGAGGAGCCGAUUCCAUCCUAUUCUCCACCUCUUGACCAGUUAAAUGUCUACAUUAAUAUUAAAGUUCAGUGAUUACGUCUAAUGAUUAUAGGGAACAUAAUUUCCGUAACUGACACUAAUUACGUCUCAUCAUUGAGAUCAAGGGUCUUCUGCAAUUAAUCCAUAGCUAUCGCCUUAAAGUGUGUAAUUGACUGUCUCCUUGAGUGAAUGCUAGGAACAACCACCUUGACUGGCA